UGAAAAUAAAACAAUUCUUUGUAAGGCUCCUGACAAUGUCACUGAAGUGCUGUUCAGCUUGUAUCAGGAGGGAACAGAAGGAUGGCAUGAGAGUAAAAAGGCUGAAAAGAAUCAGAACUUUGUUAUCUUUGAAACUUCAAGGCAUGAUGGUGAGAAGUCCCAAGGCUACUGGUGUCAAUAUGAGUAUAAGGGAAUAAAAUCACCCAAAAGUGAUGUAAUCUACACAGCUGAAGAGUCUCUUGGUGCUCUUCUGAUCAGAGGAAUCUUAGCAGGGUUAUUUUUUAUUAUAAUUGCUUCACUUCACCUGUAUACCUACCUGAAGUGCAGAAACAGUUAGCAUAUUUUGGAAAGGACCAUGGAGCACCAAAGACUUUCAUCACUAUCUGAGACUAUUUUUGCAACAGGAACAUGGCAGGAACCAACACUGUACUGUGGAGCAGAAGUGUUAAAUAUUAAGCUACUUAUCCAAAAAAAUAAAUAAAUAAAAAAUG